GCCUCUCAAACGCGUGUCAUAGGUUUUUCGUGACUGUUUAGGUGGUGUCGGCGUUGUCAUGCAGUUAGUACCACAGGAGGACAUGUGGGCUGAGAGGAG